UACAGAGACUGCAAGCGUUAUUCGGAUUCACUGGGCGUAAAGGGUGCGCAGGCGGUUGGGUGUGUCAGAUGUGAAAUCCCUCGGCUCAACCAAGGAAGUGCAUCCGAAACUGCCGAGCUUGAGUACUUAAGAGGAUCGCGGAAUUCCCGGUGUAGAGGUGAAAUUCGUAGAUAUCGGGAGGAACACCAGUGGCGAAGGCGGCGAUCUGGGAAGAUACUGACGCUGAGGUGCGAAAGCGUGGGGAGCAAACAGG
rnacentral:rRNA from 1 species